rnacentral:lncRNA from 1 species
CUAUUCAGAGGACUUGUGCCAAGAUCCAGACCCGGCUGGUGAACAAGAAAAAGCAUGACAAUGUGCCACUGGUGGUGACUCCUUUCAUGCUAGAGCAAUUCAGUGCUCCAUUUCAACCUGUACAAGUUCCAGAACCACUACAACAACAACAAUAUCAACCACAACAACAACAACAAGCUCAACAACAAGCUCAACAACAAGCUCAACAACAAGAACAACCGCAACAACAAUCACCUCCUCAAAACUAUCAACCACUUCAACUACUUCAAGACUAUCAGUCAUCCAGCCAAUCCUCACAUUACUCUCCCUACAACCCUCCUUACAAUUCACCACAACAAUCACCUCACCAAUCAUCAUACAAUUCUCCUCACCAAUCUCAACACCAAUCCCCUCCACAAUACAACUUCUUCCCAGACCAACAAGCCUCCAUUCUUCCCUCUCAAUCUGAACCAACACCUUCACCUACACAUACACAUACCAUUCCUCAACCACAAUCCACCUCUCAGCCUCUGCCUGCUGAUUCUGCUAUCAAUCCAGGCCUACAGGACUUCAGGGCUGAUUUACAGGUAGCUCAGGUACUUUCACAACAACAAGCAGCUAAUCCAGAACAACAACAAUCACCUCCACGUAUCAAUCAACCACUUCAACUCCUCCAAGAAUACCAAUCAUCCAGCCAAUCCUCACAUUACUCUCCCUACAACCCUCCUUACGAUUCACCACAACAAUCACCUCACCAAUCAGAUUACACUUCUCCUCACCAAUCUCAACAUCAAUCCCCUCCACAAUACAACUUCUUCCCAGACCAACAAGCCUCCAUUCUUCCCUCUCCAUCUGAACCAACACCUUCACCUACACAUACACAUACCUUUCCUCAACCACAAUCCACCUCUCAGCCUCUGCCUGCUGAUUCUGCUAUCAAUCCAGAGCUACAGGACUUCAGAACCG